UCCCUAGUGGCUUUGCUGGUAAAGAAUCUGCCUGCAAUGCAGGAGACCUGGGUUCAAUCCCUGGUUUGGGAA
rnacentral:tRNA from 1 species